rnacentral:lncRNA from 1 species
GUUGUAAUUGUAAUGCUAAGCACACGCAUCUCAAUUUUAUAGCAAACGAAUAAAAAGUCCAUAAAUCUUAUUUCAGCACUGGUUAUAUUCUAUUGUUUUGUUGUUCAAUUAAAGUUUGUUGAGCACUAAACCAUAUUCUUGAAUCUGUUUUGCACAACAUAUUCCCGAAUCUGUUUCUUUUGGAUCUUUAUAUGUGUCUUCCCUUCCACAGCUUGUUCCCGAGUCCAUUAGUGUUUGUAGUCUAUAUUCUAUCACAGCAAAUUAAAUUCCAGAGUUGUAUUUUAUGACGAAGUUUU